UACAGAGGUCCCAAGCGUUACUGAGAAUCACUGGGUUUAAAGGGUGCGUAGGUGGUCCGUUAAGUCAGUUGUGAAAUCCCCGGGCUCAACCCGGGAACUGCUUCUGAUACUGGCGGACUUGAGGCCAGUAGGGGUCACUAGAACUGACGGUGGAGCGGUGAAAUGCGUAGAUAUCGUCAGGAACGCCGGUGGCGAAAGCGGUCCGCUGGCCCUCUACUGACGCUGAGGCGCGAAAGCCAGGGGAGCAAACGGG
rnacentral:rRNA from 1 species